CCUACGGGAGGCAGCAGUAGGGAAUAUUGCUCAAUGGGGGAAACCCUGAAGCAGCAACGCCGCGUGGAGGAUGAAGGUUUUCGGAUUGUAAACUCCUUUUGUUAGAGAAGAUAAUGACGGUAUCUAACGAAUAAGCACCGGCUAACUCCGGGCCAGCAGCCGCGGUAAUACGGCGGGUGCAAGCGUUACUCGGAAUCACUGGGCGUAAAGAGCGCGUAGGCGGGGUAGCAAGUCAGAUGUGAAAUCCUAUGGCUUAACCAUAGAACUGCAUUUGAAACUGUUAUUCUAGAGUAUGGGAGAGGUAGGCGGAAUUCUUGGUGUAGGGGUGAAAUGCGUAGAGAUCAAGAGGAAUACUCAUUGCGAAGGCGACCUGCUAGAACAUAACUGACGCUGAUGCGCGAAAGCGUGGGGAGCAAACAGGAUUAGAUACCCCGGUAGUC
rnacentral:rRNA from 1 species